CCUACGGGGCGCAGCAGUGAGGAAUAUUGGUCAAUGGACGGAAGUCUGAACCAGCCAUGCCGCGUGCAGGAAGACGGCUCUAUGAGUUGUAAACUGCUUUUGUACAAGGGUAAACCUGAAUACGUGUAUUCAGCUGAAAGUACUUUACGAAUAAGGAUCGGCUACCUCCGUGCCAGCAGCCGCGGUAAUACGGCGGAUCCAAGCUUUAUCCGGAUUUAGUGGGUUUAACUGGUGAGUAGGCGGAGUGGUAAGUUAGAGGGGAAAUGUCCGAGCUUAACUCGGGAACUUCCUCGAAUACUGUUGAUCUAGAGAGUAGAUGCGGUAGGCGGAAUGUAUGGUGUAGCGGUGAAAUGCUUAGAGAUCAUACAGAACACCGAUUGCGAAGGCAGCUUACCAAUCUAUAUCUGACGUUGAGGCACGAAAGCGUGGGGAGCAAACAGGAUUAGAUACCCUAGUAGUC
rnacentral:rRNA from 1 species